CCUUGGCCGCCUGCGCGGUCCCAGGGUGUGGGAAGAGGUCAAAACGAAAGGGCCGGGAAGCACGGCCCCCGCGGGGAAUCCUAGUCCAGUUCUGGGCGUGGCAUCAUUCUCCCACCACCACCUAGUUCCCACCCCCUCGCUGCCUCGCGUUCACUUCCCCUCAGGGACGCAUCCGCCUUCCAAGUUCACAUCGCACCUUUUUGCGCAAGGGACUUCCUCCAGGCCAGGCCAUCCUGCUCUGUGCUGGGUGUCCCUGUGAGCGGCCAGCAGAAGCCGAGUGAAGCUCAUGCCAGUUUGGACUCUGGGAACUCACCGCUCUCGGGACUCAACAACUCUGUGCACCAGCCAGUUUCCCGUCCUCUGAGAUGUCUGACUCCUCCUGGUCUUACAGGUCUGUGUUACACCGAUUUCUGCACCCACUCACGUUACACUUUUCCUAAUAGUCAAUUGCACCUACUCCCAGCUUCGGAGAGAGGACAGCACUUACCUCCAUUUUGACUUCAAACUUUCUAACUGAUUAAAUUUUUUCUAGCUUAUCUUUUAACUCAGGCAAAAGACCUAAAACCUAUCCCCCUCAGGCAAUAGGGACUGCCCAGCUGCCAGCCACACCCCAUGUGAUUGACCUCAAAGACAAUGGUUGGUUUGAAGGUCACAGCCUAUCUGCAUGCACCCACAGACCUUUGUCCCACGUUUUCCUUAUAUAAGUCUUGAAAUAUUUUUGGUACUUUGGAGACAGUCCUCGAGGGCUUAGUCUGCUGUCUUCCCAAGUGUUGGCCUCACUGAAAUAAAUUUAUUUCUGGUUUGACCACCA